ensembl:rRNA 5S_rRNA 5S ribosomal RNA
AGCCACAGCCAAAUCCCCCUGCAGCCCAAGGCCGGUUACACACUUAAGCUAAGCAGGGCUGAGCCAGGUCAGUACCUGGAUGGCACACCACAUGGGAAUAUUAGGUUGCUGUUGGAA